rnacentral:rRNA from 1 species
GGACAACAGUUGGAAACGACUGCUAAUACCGCAUAAAAUAACGGAAUCGCAUGAUUCUGUUAUCAAAGGAGAAAUCCGCUGAAAGAUGGGCUCGCGUCUGAUUAGAUAGUUGGUGAGGUAACGGCCCACCAAGUCGACGAUCAGUAGCCGGACUGAGAGGUUGAACGGCCACAUUGGGACUGAGACACGGUCCAGACUCCUACGGGAGGCAGCAGUGGGGGAUAUUGGACAAUGGGGGAAACCCUGAUCCAGCGAUGCCGCGUGAGGGAAGAAGGUUUUCGGAUUGUAAACCUCUGUGGACAGGGACGAUAAUGACGGUACCUGUCAAGAAAGCCACGGCUAACUACGUGCCAGCAGCCGCGGUAAUACGUAGGUGGCGAGCGUUGUCCGGAAUUACUGGGUGUAAAGGGAGUGUAGGCGGGAAGGCAAGUCAGAAGUGAAAAUUAUGGGCUCAACCCAUAACCUGCUUUUGAAACUGUUUUUCUUGAGUGAAGCAGAGGCAAGCGGAAUUCCUAGUGUAGCGGUGAAAUGCGUAGAUAUUAGGAGGAACACCAGUGGCGAAGGCGGCUUGCUGGGCUUUUACUGACGCUGAGGCUCGAAAGCGUGGGGAGCAAACAGGAUUAGAUACCCUGGUAGUCCACGCCGUAAACGAUGAUUACUAGGUGUGGGGGGAUGAACCCUUCCGUGCCGGAG